GCCGUAGGGGCGGGCCGACUGGACAAUGAUGUCCUGGGGGUUCUCAAUGGCAACAAUCACCCUCGCCGCGAGCUGCAGCUUCUCCCAUGUCUUGCCGAGGUUGAUGAUGUAGAUACCUAUGAAUUGCAGCAACGAUGUUCACGUAUUCAUAUUCAAGAUACCCUCCCAAAAGAACAGCAGCAUACCUUGCAACAGGUUGCAAUGCAACUAUGCCACACACGAUAUGACACGAAAUCAGAUCAAGUUGAGCACCAUGCCGUAAUAAUUCUAGCUCACAACAAGUUGGAUACUUAGCUAAAGCUAGGAUACUAACAAAGCAUGAACAAAGGCGAGCACUAUGAUACAAGUGCACAAUCCACACCAAUCCAACCUAGGAAAUCUAGUGGCAAGAACAUGGUAAACCUAUCCUACGUAGGAAAUCUCAUGGCAAGAACAUUGUAAUGGCUAGCUGUGAGCAUCGACGAACAAGCAGAGCCGGGUGAGAUGCCUGUAGGUGGGGGUGGGUGCAUGCGUACCAUCGGAGCGGCGCUUGUAGACGUAGCGCUCCAUCUGGAAGUCGCAGUUCUUGGUGCCGAGGUGGACGUCGGCGGCGAGCAUCAUCUGCACGUCCUGCUCCGCCUGCGACAGCGCCCGCGCUGCGCCUCCUGCCACUGCCGCCAUGGUCGCGUGUGUGGGG
rnacentral:lncRNA from 1 species